rnacentral:rRNA from 1 species
AUACGGAGGGCGCAAGCGUUGUUCGGAAUUAUUGGGCGUAAAGCGCGUGUAGGCGGCCUGGUAAGUCGGUUGUGAAAUCCCCGGGCUCAACCCGGGAACUGCGAUCGAAACUGCCGAGCUCGAGUCUCGGAGAGGAGAGCAGAAUUCCCAGUGUAGGGGUGAAAUCCGUAGAUAUUGGGAGGAACACCAGUGGCGAAGGCGGCUCACUGGCUCGAUACUGACGCUGAGGUGCGAAAGCGUGGGGAGCAAACAGGAUUAGAAACCCCUGUAGUCC